GAUGAAGAACGCAGCGAAAUGCGAUAAGUAGUGUGAAUUGCAGAAUUCAGUGAAUCAUCGAAUCUUUGAACGCACAUUGCGCCCUUUGGUAUUCCUUAGGGCAUGCCUGUUCGAGCGUCAUUUAAACCUUCAAGCUAAGCUUGGUGUUGGGUGACUGUCCGCUUCACGGCGGACUCGCCUCAAAAUUAUUGGCGGCCGGUACAUUGACUUCGAGCGCAGCAGAAACGCGAACUCGGGCCCGUCGUAUUGGCUCCCAGAAGCUAUCUUCACAAUUUUGACCUCGGAUCAGGUAGGGAUACCCGCUGAACUUAAGCAUAUCAAUAAGCGGAGGA
rnacentral:misc_RNA from 1 species